rnacentral:rRNA from 1 species
GACGAACGCUGGCGGCGUGCUUAACACAUGCAAGUCGAACGGUAAGGCCCUUCGGGGUACACGAGUGGCGAACGGGUGAGUAACACGUGGGUGAUCUGCCCUGCACUUCGGGAUAAGCCCGGGAAACUGGGUCUAAUACCGGAUAGGACUGCGCGGUGCAUGCCGUGUGGUGGAAAGAUUUAUCGGUGCAGGAUGGGCCCGCGGCCUAUCAGCUUGUUGGUGGGGUAAUGGCCUACCAAGGCGACGACGGGUAGCCGGCCUGAGAGGGCGACCGGCCACACUGGGACUGAGACACGGCCCAGACUCCUACGGGAGGCAGCAGUGGGGAAUAUUGCACAAUGGGCGCAAGCCUGAUGCAGCGACGCCGCGUGAGGGAUGACGGCCUUCGGGUUGUAAACCUCUU